rnacentral:tRNA from 1 species
GCGGAAUUAGUUUAGUCUGGUAUGACGUCAUCUUCCCAAGUUGAAGGUCACGGGUUCAAAUUCCGUAUUCCGCA